rnacentral:ncRNA from 1 species
AAAUCCUAUCAGGUAAGGCUUAGCCAGCCAUUUGUACGGAGUCCUUGGAACCAAAGAGGUAACGUUAGGUUUAAGGGUAGGAUAGGGAGCAACGGAGCCGAAACAAAAGUGAAGUGAUUGAUCUGGGAAAUCAUUAUGAGGUUGGAUAUGGUGAUGUGUCUUUGCCGCAGCAGGCAACACUGUCAUGACCGAUAUGGCAAGGUUGUGGCGGCAUCUCC